rnacentral:rRNA from 1 species
AGGGCGUACGGCGAAUGCCUUGCCACUCGAAACUGAAGAAGGACGCGCCAAACUGCGAAAAGCUCCGUGAAGCUGUAAGGAAGCGAAGAAGCGGAGGUGUCCGAAUGGGGGAACCCGGCAGCAGACAUGAGCUGUCAUCUGCAGGUGAAUACAUGGCCUGCAAGAGAGGUACCCGGCGAACUGAAACAUCUAAGUAGCCGGAGGAAAAGAAAACAACAGUGAUUCCCUGAGUAGCGGCGAGCGAAAGGGGAGAAGCCCAAACCGGUUGAAGGACCGGGGUUGAAGGACCAUGACAUGGCAAGAACGAGGAUAGGAGAACGGGAUCGAAAGCCCGGCCGAAGAAGGUGAAAGCCCUGUAACCGAAAUCCGAGUAAAGCCUAAUGGGAUCCUGAGUACGGCGAGACACGAGAAAUCUUGUCGGAAGCAGGCGGGACCAUCCGCCAAGGCUAAAUAUAAACGAGUGAGCGAUAGUGAACCAGUACCGUGAGGGAAAGGUGAAAAGAACCGCGGGAGCGGAGUGAAAGAGAACCUGAAACCGUAUGCCUACAAGAAGUCAGAGCCCGUUAAGGGGUGAUGGCGUGCCUUUUGUAGAAUGAACCGGCGAGUUGCGACAGACUGCGAGGUUAAGGAGGAAAGACCGGAGCCGAAGCGAAAGCGAGUCUUAAGAGGGCGAAAGUAGGAUGUUGCAGACCCGAAACCGGGUGAUCUAGCCAUGAGCAGGUUGAAGUUGAGGUGAAACUCAAUGGAGGACCGAACCGACUACCGUUGAAAAGUUAGCGGAUGACUUGUGGCUAGGGGAGAAAUUCCAAUCGAACCCGGAGAUAGCUGGUUCUCCCCGAAAUAGCUUUAGGGCUAGCGUCGGAAAGAACCUUAGUGAAGGUAGAGCACUGAAUGUGUGAUGGCCCCAUCCCGGGGUACUGAAUACAAUCAAACUGCGAAUGUCAUUAAGGAUGUCCGGCAGUCAGACUGUGAGUGAUAAGGUCCAUGGUCAAGAGGGAAACAGCCCAGACCGCCAGUUAAGGUCCCAAAAUACAGGCUAAGUGGAAAAGGAUGUGGGGAUGCCCAGACAACUAGGAGGUUGGCUCAGAAGCAGCCAUCCUUUAAAGAGUGCGUAACAGCUCACUAGUCGAGUGACCCUGCGCCGAAAAUGUACCGGGGCUAAGCCUGAUACCGAAACUGCGGAUUGUAGGAAACUAUAGUGGUAGGGGAGCGUUGUAUACGAGCAGAAGCCGUACCGUGAGGAGCGGUGGAUUGUAUAGAAGUGAGAAUGCCGGUGUGAGUAGCGAGAUGUAGGUGAGAAUCCUACACACCGAAAGCCCAAGGAUUCCAGGGGAAGGUUCGUCCGCCCUGGGUAAGUCGGGACCUAACGCGAGGCCGAAAGGCGUAGUGGAUGGAAAGCAGGCGAAAGAUUCCUGCACCCGUAUAUGGAGCGAAGGAGUGACGGAGACGGAUAGUGUGACCCUCUUAAUGGAUUGAGGGCGAAGCGAAGCGGCUGGUUACCAGGCAAAUCCGGUAACCAUAAGGCUAGAGCGUGACAGGUAAGCGAAAUCUUAGGAAAGUAGCGAAGCACAUGAUGACGGCUUCCAGGAAAAGCUUCUGGCAAUGCAUAUGCGGCCCGUACCAAAACCGACACAGGUGGGCAGGGAGAGAAUCCCGAGGUGAGCGAGAGAACUGUUGCCAAGGAACUCGGCAAAAUGACUCCGUAAGUUAGCGAGAAGGAGUGCUUAAGCAAUUAAGCCGCAGUGAAGAGGCCCAAGCGACUGUUUAACUAAAACACAGCUCUCUGCGAAGUCGCAAGACGAAGUAUAGGGGGUGACACCUGCCCGGUGCUGGAAGGUUAAGAGGAUCUGUUAAGAGCGAUCUGAAGCAGUGAUCCGAAGCCCCAGUGAACGGCGGCCGUAACUAUAACGGUCCUAAGGUAGCGAAAUUCCUUGUCAGGUAAGUUCUGACCCGCACGAAAGGUGUAACGAUUUGGGCGCUGUCUCGGCAGCAGACUCGGUGAAAUCUUAGUACCUGUGAAAAUGCAGGUUACCCGCAACUAGACGGAAAGACCCCAUGGAGCUUUACUGCAGCCUGAUAUUGAAUUCUGGUCAUACAUGUACAGGAUAGGUGGGAGACAAAGAGACGUGCACGCCAGUGUACGAGGAGUCGACGUUGGGAUACCACUCUUGUGUGACCGGGGUUCUAACCUGGUAUCGAGAACAGGUACGGGGAGAGUGUCAGGUGGGCAGUUUGACUGGGGCGGUCGCCUCCCAAAGAGUAACGGAGGCGCCCAAAGGUACGCUCAGAUUGGAUGGAAACCAAUCGUCGAGUGCAAUUGCAGAAGCGUGCUUGACUGUGAGACAGACAAGUCGAACAGGGACGAAAGUCGGGAAUAGUGAUCCGGCGGUGCCGAAUGGAAGGGCCGUCGCUCAACGG